rnacentral:RNase_P_RNA from 1 species
UAUCAGUGCAUGAGGAAAGUCCGGGCUCCACAGGACAGGGUGCCGGGCAGUUCCCGGUGAAGGCAACUUUAAGGAAAGUGCAACAGAAAAGAAAACCGCCACUUUUGUGGUAAGGAUGAAAAGGCGAGGUAAGAGCUCACCGGCGCGGCGGAGACGCAGCGGCCUUGUAAACCCCAUCCGGAGCAACGUCGUGGAAAAGCAUUAACCGUGGUCCGCGGGCUUUAGGAGACGGCUUGAGGUCUAUGGAGACAUAGAUCCUAGAUAGAUGAUUGUCACACACAGAACCCGGCUUACCGGGCUG